UUGUCUAGUUUGCUGUGUAGAAGUGCUUCUUAAGGAGAAUUCUGGGGAGACUUCUUGCUCUUUCAUUCCUCAAGGAUGAAGCAGCAGAGUGAACCAGCGUACUGAAGCAGCUCCCACUUUCAAACUUCAACGUGAGGAUGAACAAACAUGAGCAAAGGU